UGGAAGUUCUGAGCAUUUCUCCUAUCAAAAGAGACCGGAGCACACCAGUGAAGAGAGUUCAGAUGUAGAUGAAGAGAGCAAGGAAGCAAGACUGGCUCUGAGGAAAAGGGGAAACACCAAAGUGGCCAAAGCAAAGGAGAAACCCUGUGUGAAGGUCAAGAGGCCGUGGAGUGGAGUGGAGAAAACAGCAGUACAAAGACGGUUAUCAGCUUUUCUGAUUUGUCCUUUUGGCAGGCAUACAAACAAAUCAAGUACUUAAUGAUCACUUUGUUGGUGUAAGUCAUGAGACUUAACAAUUACUGACCUAACAAC